UCGCAGUUGAUUACUUCCAAGUCAUGGACC
rnacentral:piRNA from 1 species